UUUAAACUUUAUUGAGACAGA
rnacentral:piRNA from 1 species